GACGAACGCUGGCGGCGUGCCUAAUACAUGCAAGUUGAGCGAUGGAGCUUGGUGCUUGCACCUCUUUUGAGAGCAGCGGACGGGUGAGUAACACGUGGGUAAUCUGCCUUUGAGCGGGGGACAACAUUUGGAAACGAAUGCUAAUACCGCAUAACAUCUUUAAACAUAUGUUUUAAGAUUGAAAGAUGCACUUGCUUCCCUCAAAAAUGGUCCCGCGUUUUAUUAACUUGUUGGUUAGGUAAACGCUCACCCAGGCCAUGAUACAAUGGCGAACGGAGAGGGGGAUCGGGCACAUUGGGACUGGGACACGGCCCAAACCACUACGGGAGGGAGCAGGAGGGAAUCUUCGGGAAUGGACGAAAGGCUGAACGAGCAAAGCCGCGGGAGGGAAGGAGGGUUUCGGAUCGUAAAAACCUGGUGGUAGAGAAGAAAGAUGGGGGGAGGGGAAAGCGCAUAAAGUGACGGUAACUAAACAGAAAGGGACGGCUAACUACGUG
rnacentral:rRNA from 1 species